CAGUAGCCGCGGGAAUACGUAGGGUGCAAGCGUUAAUCGGAAUUACUGGGCGUAAAGCGUGCGCAGGCGGUUAUAUAAGUCAGAUGUGAAAUCCCCGGGCUCAACCUGGGAACUGCAUUUGAGACUGUAUGGCUAGAGUGUGUCAGAGGGGGGUAGAAUUCCACGUGUAGCAGUGAAAUGCGUAGAUAUGUGGAGGAAUACCGAUGGCGAAGGCAGCCCCCUGGGAUAACACUGACGCUCAUGCACGAAAGCGUGGGGAGCAAACAGGAUUAGAUACCCGCGUAGUCCCUGUCUCUUAUAC
rnacentral:rRNA from 1 species